rnacentral:sRNA from 1 species
GGGGGGUGGGAGGACAAGGGAACUUGCUGGGGAAAAUUGUGACCAGAAUAUAUCAUAUGAAAAAGAUUUUUCUCAACAAAAGAAAUAGAUUGGAAAACAAACAAACAAAACCAAUAGCCUCUGCCAUGAGAAAAAGUCCCCAUACAGUAGAGUUCACCCAAGAGUUCGAGCAGCUACGUGAUGUCUAUUUUUCUUAUUUAUUAUGUUUACAUUUGGGGGGGAGAUUAUGGUGUAAGAAGAUUCAAAAGAAACACUGAAUAAAUAAAUAAGGUUUGGUAGUUCUGUUCUGUUACAGUCAUUCACUCCACUCCUAACUAUAUACACUCCGUGGCUUUCAUUCCUCCCAUAGUGAGGAUUGAGUCACGCCCUUGACGUUUGAGGCCAGUAUUCUACUACGAAGCUCUCUGCUAUGAGUUCCUAAGAAGAAUAAAAGGCCAGAGCAAUGGCCACAGGUACAGGCAUUUGCUGACCUCAGUCGCUCGGACCCACUCGAUGCGGUAAGACCCCAAUUCCCACAAGUUAUUGUCCAACUUCCACACUUAGCGUGUUCCUAACCGCCAUCCACCACAUACACUAAAUAAAUAACUUUGAUGAACACAUGAACCCUAGAAACUGGUCUAAAACGGAAAAUUAAAGAAAGACAAAAUUAGGGAAAUAAAAGUUCCCCUUUAGAGACAUUUGGAUACAGAUGUUCAGAGCAGCAUGAUAUGCAACAGCCCAGGGAGGAAACAAAUCAAAUGUUUACGGGUGACGGUUUGAAAUAUUACAAGUCCACACAAUGGAAUACUUUUUAACAAGAAGUGUUAAAGCGUGCUAUAAAAUGGAUAAACCUUGACAAGUUAAUACAUGAAAAAAGUUAUAAAAAAAACCAGCUGUUACUUGGCUCUAUUAUAUAUGGAGUCCAGAGGAGGGUAAAUUUAGAGAGACAGGAAGUAGACUUGUGUUUGGACACAUCUGGAAGGACAGGCGGUAAGGGCGUGGCUCUCAUCGACUAGGAGGGCACUCUGGGAAUGGUGGAAUGUGUUAGCCUAUGUGAUGACCGCAAAAUUCUGCGAAUACUCUAAAACCGUUCACUUGAGUCCCUCAGCUACUGUCAUUGUACACGAAUUAUAUCUCGACAAGGAUAUUUUAAGGGAAGCUGACUAAUUGUAUUAGCUGUUCAAAAAAAAAAAAAAAAAAAAAACCUAGUCGAGCUUCUACAUCUAACUAAAAUUGAACACAGCUCGAAUUGAAUCAAGACUACUAGCCCAGAGCGAACCUCUGGAAACAGUUGAGGGCCAGGUAAAAGUCACCCAUGUCUGCAAGCCUGAGAUGGGGAAGAGCGGGAGUGGGCAGAUUGUGUUCGAUGACAAUCUCUACAAAUUAAAGAUGACCUCAGAAGGUCAAAUCUGGAAACCAGGAGCUCGCACACAGCUAGCUUCCUGUGAAGUCAGCAGCCCAGAGCACGUUAACAGCUGCGCGAACUGUGACUCACUCCCUCACUGAUCUCCCUGUGAGAGCGCAGCUGCUGUCAAAGGGAGCGAGGAAAAGCUACACAACAGGGUACCCCACCAGGAAGCCUCAGUGGACAAUCUACUGCGAACCCACAGAGGUGGGAGUGAGAGGCCAGUAUAGAA